rnacentral:rRNA from 1 species
GACGAACGCUGGCGGCGUGCUUAACACAUGCAAGUCGAACGGAAAGACCCUGCUUUUGUGGGGUGCUCGAGUGGCGAACGGGUGAGUAACACGUGAGUAACCUGCCCUUGACUUUGGGAUAACUUCAGGAAACUGGGGCUAAUACCGGAUAGGAGCUCCUGCUGCAUGGUGGGGGUUGGAAAGUUUCGGCGGUUGGGGAUGGACUCGCGGCUUAUCAGCUUGUUGGUGGGGUAGUGGCUUACCAAGGCUUUGACGGGUAGCCGGCCUGAGAGGGUGACCGGCCACAUUGGGACUGAGAUACGGCCCAGACUCCUACGGGAGGCAGCAGUGGGGAAUAUUGCACAAUGGGCUGAAGCCUGAUGCAGCAACGCCGCGUGCGGGAUGACGGCCUUCGGGUUGUAAACCGCUUUCGCCUGUGACGAAGCGUGAGUGACGGUAAUGGGUAAAGAAGCACCGGCUAACUACGUG